rnacentral:rRNA from 1 species
UACGUAGGGGGCAAGCGUUAUCCGGAAUUACUGGGUGUAAAGGGAGCGUAGGCGGCAUGGUAAGUUAGAUGUGAAAGCCCGUGGCUUAACCGCGAGGAUUGCAUUUAAAACUAUCAAGCUAGAGUACAGGAGAGGAAAGCGGAAUUCCUAGUGUAGCGGUGAAAUGCGUAGAUAUUAGGAAGAACACCAGUGGCGAAGGCGGCUUUCUGGACUGAAACUGACGCUGAUGCUCGAAAGCGUGGGGAGCGAACAGGAUUAGAUACCCUGGUAGUCCACGCCGUAAACGAUGAGUGCUAGGUGUUGGGGAGGAAUCCUCGGUGCCGCAGCAAACGCAAUAAGCACUCCACCUGGGGAGUACGACCGCAAGGUUGAA